rnacentral:rRNA from 1 species
AAUCAACGCUGGCGGCGUGCCUAACACAUGCAAGUCGAACGCGAAAGGGGAGCAAUCCCUGAUUAGAGUGGCAAACGGGUGAGUAACACGUGGGUGACCUGCCUUCGAGUGGGGGAUAACCUUCCGAAGGAGGGCUAAUACCGCAUGACAUACCGUGUUUGGAUACACGGAUAUCAAAGACCGGGGAUCGCAAGACCUGGCGCUUGGAGAGGGGCCCGCGUCCGAUUAGCUAGNGGUGAGGUAACGGCUCACCAAGGCUCCGAUCGGUAUCCGGCCUGAGAGGGCGGACGGACACACUGGAACUGAGACACGGUCCAGACUCCUACGGGAGGCAGCAGUGGGGAAUUGUUCGCAAUGGGCGAAAGCCUGACGACGCAACGCCGCGUGGAGGAUGAAGAAUUUCGGUUCGU